CAAGAGAAGGAGAACACGAAAAUGGUUUUCCUCCAGCUGCUCUAAUGAAAAAGCAUUAUCAAAAAAAUGGGAAGCUGGUGUUCAGGCAAAAAGAGAUCAAAUUCCAGAUCCAAUCUUCAUCUGAAGUUUUGCUGUAUUUUAAAGCCCCUUCCUUUCAAAUAUAAGCACUUUUUUCCAGCUUCAUGUGAUUCAUCUUUGUUAUCAUAAAGCAUGCGACUUAAGAGAAACAAGGCUGAUGCAGAGGAGAUGAAGAUGUAGCUUGGUAGUUGUGUCUUAACAGGUGGUGACUCUAACAUCAGAUUGAAGGUGGCAUUAUUCCACUUUGUGGUGGUAUUUAUUUUGGCCUUAGGCCAUCACUGAGAUGCAAACCUAACUUCUGCACAGUGUAAGCCAUCUUUAAUCUUCUGUCACAAAUUCCAUGAAUUAAUUCAAGCAACAUUUCAUGGACCGGAUCACAUAAGUGGACCUACUGCUGCAGGAAAGAGAAGGAGAUACUUUGUAAAUAUUUCAGAGACUGAAGGACCACAGCUGGAUUAAUUUGAAUCACUCUGAAGUGACGUGUCAGAAAUCAGGAAGCAAAUUCCACAAGGAGAGCUGCAUUAACAAUUUUUUUUUCAAUACUAGUAACACGUUUUGCUGGUCCAGGCUGGAGUCAUCGCUAUAUGACUGGUUUGGGCUUGGAUAGAAUUACUUUUCCUCCUAGUAGCUGGUAUGGAGCUGGGUUCUGGAUUUCAGAAGAGAGUGAUGCUGACAACACACCGAUCUUUUAGUUGUCGCAGAGCACUGCUUACACAGAGCCAAGGAGGUUUCAUCUGCCCACACCGCCCUGCCAGCCAGGAGGCUGCGGGUGCACCAGGAGCUGGGAGGGGACGCAGCCAGGACAGCUGGCCCAAACUGGCCAGAGCCAUGUCCCAUACCCUAUGGGGUCGUGCUGAAGACUGGGACUGAGCAGGUUGGCCAGAGUGUGGCUACUGCCGCGCGGGGUCUGUCUGGGCAUCAUCACUCAGUGGGCAGCGAGCAAUUGCAUUGUGCGUCACCGUGCAUUCAUCCUGGAGGAGAGAAAGCUCGGCGGGAUCGUAGCAGUGUCUAGACAUCCCCAAAGGGAGGAUGCAAAGAAGACGGAGCCAGGCUCUUGUCAGCGGUGUCCAGCGGCCGGACAGCUCUAGGUGGCCCUGCUUCAGCAGGGGGUUGGAGCAGAUGACCUCCAGAGAUCCCUUCCAUCCCCAGCCCUUCUGGGAGCUUCCUUCUGGGUAAAAAACAGGGCCCUUUUAUACCACUGACACAGAAGAUGGCGUAGGAUGCCACCACGUAACAAGUGAGGUACUGCUCAAUUCUAUCUUCCACCUGAGACAGCCAAGAGGUUGCGGUGCUCCUGGUUUUCUCUAAACAAUCCUAGGUUUCUCAUGCAUAUUCCCACUGUCCCUGGCCAAUUUCCACCUUCCCAGGUGGAAAGUUGUUCCUCAGUUUCUUGAUGCGUCCUCAUCAAUGGUGGAACGCAAAAAGCGGUGUCACUUUCCAAGACUCCUUUGGGAGAAUUAGGAAGUAGGUAUUCUUUAUGAAGAACGCUGGGUAUGUGGGGGAUAAUUCCACCCAACACGUACAGCUAAGCAAGACAAGGAGUACUUAUUUAUGGUACGGGGAUAUCCAUAUUUAUGCAGUUCACAAGAAAAGGCAGGAUUUAUGCUAAUGGUUUCUCAGAACUAAUUAUCAUAUUGUCCCUCCUGCUGUUGCAGGUCAGGUAACCUCUGGUGGUUGCACUUC